UACGUAGGGUGCGAGCGUUGUCCGGAAUUACUGGGCGUAAAGGAGCUUGUAGGCGGUUCGUCGCGUCGAUCGUGAAAACGUGACAGCUCAACUGCACGCUUGCGGUCGAUACGGGCGGACUAGAGUACUGCAGGGGAGACUGGAAUUCCUGGUGUAGCGGUGAAAUGCGCAGAUAUCAGGAGGAACACCGGUGGCGAAGGCGGGUCUCUGGGCCACUACUGACGCUGAGAAGCGAAAGCAGUGGGGAGCGAACAGG
rnacentral:rRNA from 1 species